UAAGGGAUAUUGGUCAAUGGGGCGGGGAGCCUGAACCAGCCAUGCCGCGUGAGGGAAUGAGGCCCUACGGGUCGUAAACCUCUUUUGCCGGGGGAUAACGGGCGCCACGUGUGGCGCCGUGAAGGUACCCGGAGAAUAAGCAUCGGCUAACUCCGUGCCAGCAGCCGCGGUAAUACGGAGGAUGCAAGCGUUAUCCGGAUUCAUUGGGUUUAAAGGGUGCGUAGGCGGCUUGGUAAGUCAGCGGUGAAAUUCCAGUGCUCAACAUUGGCCGUGCCGUUGAUACUGCUGGGCUUGAAUGCGGAUGCCGUGGGAGGAAUGUGUGGUGUAGCGGUGAAAUGCAUAGAUAUCACACAGAACACCGAUUGCGAAGGCAUCUCACGAAUCCGCAAUU
rnacentral:rRNA from 1 species